UGGUUUCUUGAGCUAUCUGCCUUAUGUAUCGGAAGGCAGCCAUUGUCAAUUUCUGAGCAAGGAUCUUGGACGAUUCAUAAAGUGGUCUGAGGACUUCGGGAACACUGCAAGCGUCGAGAUCAAUAUGGUCUACAAUGUGGAUGAUUGAGCCCCCGCCCUCACAAGGACGUAUGAGGAAACCACUUGGAAGCAUUUUAGCCCUAACAGAACUAGUUGCAGGAGGCCCGACAGGGCCUCCAGUGUUAGACGUCAAAGAUCUUUCA
rnacentral:misc_RNA from 1 species